rnacentral:tRNA from 1 species
UAUAUUUAAGUGUUUUAGCAUUUAAAAUUUUGAAUUUUAAGGAAUUAAUUUAAUUAAUAAAUAUAA